UAGACCGCCUGGGGAGUACGGCCGCAAGGUUAAAACUCAAAUGAAUUGACGGGGGCCCGCACAAGCGGUGGAGCAUGUGGUUUAAUUCGAUGCAACGCGAAGAACCUUACCUGGUCUUGACAUCCACAGAACUUUCCAGAGAUGGAUUGGUGCCUUCGGGAACCGUGAGACAGGUGCUGCAUGGCUGUCGUCAGCUCGUGUUGUGAAAUGUUGGGUUAAGUCCCGCAACGAGCGCAACCCUUAUCCUUUGUUGCCAGCGAUUAGGUCGGGAACUCAAAGGAGACUGCCAGUGAUAAACUGGAGGAAGGUGGGGAUGACGUCAAGUCAUCAUGGCCCUUACGACCAGGGCUACACACGUGCUACAAUGGCGCAUACAAAGAGAAGCGACCUCGC
rnacentral:rRNA from 1 species